GUGUGGCAACAAAUUUCACGAGUCACACAAAUCCUUUUUUUUUGCUGUACGGCAAGGGAGCUGCUUGUAUACACGUGAUGGGAGUCUCACAUCAUCACUUAUUUUAGGACAAAAGCUUGAUCAGGGUGGGAAGAGAGAGCGACAAAGGGAAAUUAUGAUUGUUAGGAAAGAAAAUAUAAAUAGAGGUGUUUAGGAAAUUGGAAGAAUAAAAAUAUUUGUUGCUUUUAUAUAGUGUCGAG
rnacentral:lncRNA from 1 species